CUUGACGUGAAAGCGCCUGGACUGUCCGGGGAACGGGUUGAAGGCGGACAGUUGACGAGGGGGAGGUUCAUCGAACCAUUCGGCGGAUGCCUCCCGGCGCAUCCUGUCGCCGUGACGAAAGGGGAAAAACCUUUGGUGACAAAGGCAAUAAAGACCUUUCGAACAGGAAGU
rfam:Kyrpidia tusciae DSM 2912, complete genome.